rnacentral:tRNA from 1 species
GAGAUUGAAUUUUCUUUGAACCACUUAUGAAAAAAAAAGAGG